GAAAUAUAAAGUGGUGGCCUAUUACUGGGGCUCCACAGAGUCCUCACCAUCAGUGGGCCCUAGAAGGUACCUGAGAAUGCUGGGUAGUGACUGUUCUAACCCUGUAGCUCACUAUGUGAGUCCUUCAGAAUGUGCCAUGACUUGUAUAGGCUUGGCCUAACUGCUGUGUAAAUCACAAUAGAAUCCUUUUGUUAGGAGGCAGCGUGACAGCAACAAUGCACUUGCCACCAUCUCACUCAGGACCUUGUCACACUUCGACUUGUCACUUGUUUUAAUGUAGCACGAGGUUCCAUAGACUGGAGCAAGCUUGGUCAGGUUCCUGAUGAUCAUCAGAUGAUGAUCUGUGCUCUGGAUGAUGACCAGGUGCAUUAUGCAUCUGAACAAGCAGGUUGAGGCCAAGUGAGAAUGGGCAGACAUGGUUCAAUCCGUUGAGAACCUCCAAUUUAAAAGGACCCAGUGAAGAAGAGCGGUGGAAAAGCUCUCUCUGCUCUGAGACUUGGUAAUAGACCAUAGCUUAGUAAUAAAGCAUCUAUUUUGCUUGAAGGAGAUUCCAAGUUCCAUCUCUGGUGUGUUCAGGGCAGGAUUGCUUAACUUCCACUUCAAGGGCCUGAUCCACCAUGCUUCCUGGGGCUGAUGGGAGUCACAAUCCAGUAACAUCUAGAGGAACAAAAAGUUCUCCACACCUGACCUACAUCGAACUCCUACAAUUUUUCACACAGAUUAUCAGAUUGGCUACUUUGAGUGCCCAAUCAGAAAGCUUGGGCAUAUCUACGUGUAAUAAAUGAAUUGACGUUUGUUUGUUUGCUUGU